rnacentral:rRNA from 1 species
CCUACGGGAGGCAGCAGUGAGGAAUAUUGGUCAAUGGACGAGAGUCUGAACCAGCCAAGUAGCGUGAAGGAUGACUGCCCUAUGGGUUGUAAACUUCCUUUAUAUGGGAAUAAAAUGUUCCACGUGUGGGAUUUUGUAUGUACCAUAUGAAUAAGGAUCGGCUAACUCCGUGCCAGCAGCCGCGGUAAUACGGAGGAUCCGAGCGUUAUCCGGAUUUAUUGGGUUUAAAGGGAGCGUAGGUGGAUUGUUAAGUCAGUUGUGAAAGUUUGCGGCUCAACCGUAAAAUUGCAGUUGAAACUGGCAGUCUUGAGUACAGUAGAGGUGGGCGGAAUUCGUGGUGUAGCGGUGAAAUGCUUAGAUAUCACGAAGAACUCCGAUUGCGAAGGCAGUUCACUGGACUGCAACUGACACUGAGGCUCGAAAGUGUGGGUAUCAAACAGGAUUAGAUACCCGAGUAGUC